UACAGAGGUGGCAAGCGUUGUUCGGAAUUACUGGGCGUAAAGGGCGCGUAGGCGGCUUGGUCAGUCCCGUGUGAAAUCCCUCGGCUCAACUGAGGAACUGCACGGGAAACUGCCUGGCUUGAGUUCGGGAGAGGGAAGCGGAAUUCCUGGUGUAGCGGUGAAAUGCGCAGAUAUCAGGAGGAACACCGGUGGCGAAGGCGGGUCUCUGGGCCGAUACUGACGCUGAGGAGCGAAAGCAUGGGGAGCGAACAGG
rnacentral:rRNA from 1 species